rnacentral:lncRNA from 1 species
AGUCAUUUUAUCCCAGCCUGGCCCGUGGAGAAGCUACACUGGACCCUGAAGCAAACAGCGCAAACUGCCAGCUGAGGCACAAUUGACGUCCAGCCAUGGUUGGUAUCUGAGCCACCUUUCGCACACAAUCCUAAGUAAGAUAAACUUAGCAUCAGACUCUCUGACCUCGGCACUCUUUCCUGCUCCUCCCCCAGCUCCAUGGUUGUAUCAUUAAGAUGCCACAGCUACUGAAUAGAGUCUGAGCUCAAUCCAGGAAACUCCAGC